AUUGAACGCUGGCGGCAUGCCUUACACAUGCAAGUCGAACGGUAACGGGCCUUCGGGUGCCGACGAGUGGCGAACGGGUGAGUAAUGCAUCGGAACGUACCUUUCAGUGGGGGAUAACGUAGCGAAAGUUACGCUAAUACCGCAUAUUCUGUGAGCAGGAAAGCAGGGGAUCGCAAGACCUUGCGCUGAUUGAGCGGCCGAUGUCAGAUUAGCUAGUUGGUGAGGUAAAGGCUCACCAAGGCGACGAUCUGUAGCGGGUCUGAGAGGAUGAUCCGCCACACUGGAACUGAGACACGGUCCAGACUCCUACGGGAGGCAGCAGUGGGGAAUUUUGGACAAUGGGGGCAACCCUGAUCCAGCCAUGCCGCGUGAGUGAAGAAGGCCUUCGGGUUGUAAGCUCUUUCGGCCGGGAAGAAAUCGUAUGGGCUAAUACCCUGUGCGGAUGACGGUACCGGCAUAAGAAGCACCGGCUAACUACGUGCCAGCAGACC
rnacentral:rRNA from 1 species